rnacentral:lncRNA from 1 species
GCGGUGAGAGGUGUCCAAUAUUUUCCAUGCUAGAUGUGUUAUUCUUACGAUGAGUGUUCAUUCACUUGUCAUUGCACGAGAGUACGGCAAAGGUAUUAGGGAUGCCCAAUCCCGAAAUGGAAAAAAAUGAAUUUACUUUUUGUUGUCAAAUAAUAAAUUCCUUGGAAAGUUUUGGUAUGGAGGUCACCCGUGGAUACGGACAAGCCAUGGAAAGUGAAAGUAAUGGUGGAAAAAGGAAUAAACUUUAUUUUCUGUUUGGGAACUGCCUAUUAUGUAUCUAGCAUGAAAAGUGUUGGGAGCUCUAAGUCGUUUUCGUUGGUGGGAAAAGUAUGCCUCCCAAAAUGUUUUGAUCUCUCAAUUUUUGCUUUGAGCUCUAGCACCUCUACAAAUCCCUAGUUCCCUCUGAGAAGGGCCUUUCUUUUACUUACGCAAUUUUUAUUUUGAAUUUGAGUCUCCAUCUUCUCUCAUAAAGCACCAACUAAGGGGCACUAUGAUCGUAUCUGAGCAUUGGGUGUAGCUAAUAUUCGAGUGUGUUUCAGGAAUGGAUCAAUGAUAGAGCAUAAUGGGCCCCAAUAUUAGCUAAAAUACGAUCAUCAUUAUUCCAGAAACCCUAGGGGGCGAAAAUCAAUUCUAGCCGCCGCAGAGUCCAGAAACACCAGAUCCAAUCUAGACACCCCUCACGGAGGUGUUCAUCAUGUCCAUUGGUGCUUCUCCGAUGAUGCGUGAGUAUUCUUUGUAGACCUACGGGUCCAUAGUUAGUAGCUAGAUGGCUUCCUCUCUCUCUCUUGAUUAUCAAUACAAUGGUCUCUUGGAGAUCGAUAUGAUGUAAGUCUUUUUGCGGUGUAUUUGUUGGGAUCUGAGGAACUUUGAGUUUAUGAUCAGAUCUAUGUUUUUAUCCAUGACAGUUAUUUGAGUCUUCUUUGAUCUCUUAUAUGCGUGAUUGAUUAUAGCCUCGUAUUUCUUCUUUGAUAUUUGGGUUUUGUUUGGCCAACUUGAUCUAUUUAUCUUGCAAUGGGAAGAGGUGCUUUGUGAUGGACUCGAUGUUAUGGUGCUUUAUCCGAGUGAUAGAAAGGGAAAUGACACGUAAGUACCGUUGCUAUUAAGGAUAACAAGACGGGGUCUAUUUCUACAUAAAUAGAUCUUGUCUACAUCAUGUCAUCAUUCUUAUUGCAUUACUCCGUUAUUCCAUGAACCUAAUACACUAGAUGCAUGCUGGAUAGCGGUCGAUGUGUGGAGUAAAAGUAGUGGAUGCAGGCAGGAGUCGGUCUACUAAUCUUGGACGUCAUGCCUAUAUAACGAUCAUUGCCGGGAUAUCGUCAUGAUUAUUUGAUGUUCUAUAAAUUUCCCAACAGUAAUUGUUUUCCCACCGUUUCCUAUUUUUCUCGAGAGAAGACACUAGUGAAACCUACGGCCCCGGGGUCUCUUUUCGUCAUACUUGCCUUUGCGAUCUAUUUUCCUUUGCUUUUACUUUCAGAUCUAUUAAACCAAAAAUAGAAAAAUACCUUUCUGCAAUUUAUUUGUUCCGCGAUCUAUUUAUCCUAUAUACCACUUUUACCUCAUGUUAUUUGCCUAUCUUUAGGAGUCGUACCCGAAAGGGAUUUACAACCCCUUUAACACGUCGGGUUGCGAGUAUUUGUUAUUUGUGUGCAGGUGUUGUUUACGUGGUGUGAGGAGGUUCUCCUACUGGUUCGAUAAACUUGGUCUCACCACUGAGGGCAAUACCAAACGUCACUACACUUCAUCAUCCCUUCCUCUUUGGGGAAAUACUGACGUAGUUCUAGCAGACAUCACGCAACUCCGGCGAGCAUGCAACCAGCGGUGGGUUCGCAGCGCUCCGGCAAGUGGGGAGCCAGCGGCGGGGCCACGGUGCUCCGGCGAGCUGCGGAAGGUGGCAGGGUUGCGGGGUCGAGCGGGUGCUAGAGGUGGCGUGCGAGUGUGCGGGGUGGAGCGAGAGGCGCACCCACGCAGCUCGCUAUGGGCGGCGGUGGCUCCCCUCGGGCCCGGUUCAUCCCGGGGCGGACCUGGCUUGGGCCGCGGCGGCUUGGGCACUGGGAAGCGACGUGGCAAUGCACGAGUGGUGGAGGGCGGCGGCUGCGAUGGCUGGGUGGUGGCCAAGUGGCAGCAGCGGAUGAGGCUGGUGUAGAAAACGAGGCAAAGAUGGGAGGAGGCCACUUUUGGUAGGUGGGGUGGUUUAAAUAGGCACGGGGUUAGUGUUUGAGGGUUUUGGGGGUGUUUCGAGCCCUCCGAUUGCAAUCGGACGGCUCUGGUUGCACCCUAGGGUUAGGUAGGCUUAGGUGGGCUGGUUGGGCUGUCCGGGGAAGAUUGUGGGCUGAGAUGAGAGGGAGGUUUGGGCCCGUGACAUGGUUUUUAAAACACUGAAACGUCCGACAAAUAAACCGAUGACAGUGCCUCUACGGUCGACCGUUCGGGUAUCAAACGGACUCUCAUUGCGACAAAUUUGGCACACGACUACCUCCAUUAAGAUACGACCGCACUGUAAGUUUCAACCCAAUCCGAGAAAGUUUUCUACACACUUUUAAAAAUAAGAUUUUAGCGAUGUCGCGGGCGCCUGGGUGUGUGGUUUGCUCCAAACUGUCAACGACAAAAACAAGGAGAACAGGAAACUUAUAAAGGAUGCAAGUUUUGAAAAAAUGACGACAACGGAGCACCGAUGCAAUGUGGAUGAUGUGAAUGAUGCGAUGAUGAAUGCAACAAACACACGAGUCACACGAUGAUAAUGGAAUAAAAGGGGAAUCUUCUGGAGCGUCGGUUCUAGGUUGUUACACUGCCUGUCUUCCAUCUCUUCUCCGCCUAGCCCGGUGCACAGUGCACCGACCUGUCGCAAUCUAGUCCAAAAACUUCACCUGACCCGAUCUAGACGGUUACGCCCGUGGAUUCCGGAUCAACCCCGUAAUACCCCAAAACUAUUAUCAGUUUUUCAAUUGGAUUCCUAACCUAUUAUGUAUGACCGUCUGUUCUAAAACAGAGGGACAAGAUAGCCCUAGCCUAAUCUUAAAACAAUAUAUAACAGGAGAAACCCUAUGCUAACCUGUCGCAUCCACUAAAUCCCUAUGCCGCCACCACCCCAAUCAUUGCCUCCAUUUCCAUGCUAGACCAACCAGCCUGCAGCCAUCCAUCCCACCUCGAUUCCAGCAACUCCCCAACCAGGUGUGACCAUGCGCCCGAGGAGAGCGAAUGCUCCUUCCUCAAGAUCGAGCAUGGCGGUCAGAGCCACUUCCCGAUCCAACAGCAGGGCGUUACCCAAGCCCCGCUCGCCGCCUCGCCGUACCCAUCCGAGCCGGACCCCAUGCCAUCCCUCGCGGUCUGCCAUGGGUGCUCGCCCCCGAGCUCGUCGUAGCCGCCCCACCAAGCCCUGUUGUCGGCUCGCACCGCCCGUGUCGGAGAGUGUCAUCGCCAAUUACCAGCUCCAUCACCAGGCUAGUCUCGUCGCCCUUGCUCCCUUCCCUCUCUAUUCAGUGUUGUAGCUCUCUCUCCCUCCCGUGGUUCUCUCUCUCCCCACUCUAACCUCCUUUCUCUCUCUGGCUGAACUAACUGUAGGAGGCCGCCAUGGUUGUCCCCGUCGCUCAUGCUUCGCCUCGUCUCGGCGGAGCUCAAGGCACCAGAUCCGCGCCAAAUCUUCCGGAUUCGCCCGUCGCCGACCUCGUGCACGUUGGAUCUCGCCUCCUCUGCCUCACCUCGCUCGAGAUGCCUCGCACAACUGACAGCAACUUGCGCUCUUGCACUUGCAUCUCGCAUUCCCAGCCACGAAAAUAGAGUUUUUCGCUUGUAGUUUGUUUCAGUUAGCGUUAGGCUAUGUUUUAUUUCUGGGAAACACAGUUUAAAUAAAAGUUACUUUGAAGCCGAGAUGGUCUGGCAAUCACGAGUUACUGGGUUCGAGUCCCAAGCACCCCAAUGUUUGCCUAUAGAAUUUUAGCAUCGAUCCAUCACAGGAGGGGAGUUGGGUUCGAAUCCCAGUGUCACCCUUUUUGUACUUCCUCUUCUAUUUAUUUUUCUUUUGCGCACACACACACUACCACUUGGGCCAAAUCAUCCUCGGCUGCUGCACUAUGUUGCAAUUCUUCCCCCGUUUUUUCGCGUGAAGAAUUUAACAUUAACGAGGAAAUGCAUAUUUCCCAAAAAAAGUCAUUAUUUUCAAAUGUUAAAAACUAAAUAACUAUGCAUGGGAUUAAAAUUAUUUAAACAUGAAAGAUUAACAAUAUUCUAUUUUCAUCCAUGCUAAAAAUGUUUAACUUGUUGCUUGCAUUAAUUUUCCAUAAAUGCCAUGCCAAAAUGAUUUAUUUCAUAACUUGCUAACCG